rnacentral:rRNA from 1 species
CCUACGGGUGGCAGCAGUGAGGAAUAUUGGUCAAUGGGCGGAAGCCUGAACCAGCCAAGUAGCGUGCAGGAUGACGGCCCUACGGGUUGUAAACUGCUUUUAUACGGGAACAACGCGCCUUACGUGUAGGGCUUUGCAUGUACCGUAUGAAAAAGCACCGGCUAAUUCCGUGCCAGCAGCCGCGGUAAUACGGAGGGUCCGGGCGUUAUCCGGAUUUAUUGGGGUUAAAGGGUGCGUAGGCCGGAGGUCAAGUGAGCUGUGAAAUGUCCGGGCUCAACCCGGGCCUUGCAGUGGGAACUGGGGUGCUUGAGUGCGCGGAAAGCAGGCGGAAUUCGUGGUGUAGCGGUGAAAUGCAUAGAUAUGACGAAGAACCCCGAUUGCGAAGGCAGCUUGCUGCAGCGGAACUGACGCUGAUGCUCGAAAGCGCGGGUAUCGAACAGGAUUAGAUACCCGAGUAGUC